ensembl:misc_RNA Metazoa_SRP Metazoan signal recognition particle RNA
GCUAGGCGUGGUGGUGCACGCCUGUAAUCCCAGCUACUCAGGAGGCUGAGGCAGGAGAAUCGCUUGAACCCAGGAGGUGGAGGUUGCAGUGAGCCAAGACUGUGUCACUGCACUCCAACCUGGGUGACACAGCGAGACUCCAUCUCAA